rnacentral:lncRNA from 1 species
GUAUACAGAGAAAAUACCUAUGUAUACGGCGGGUCUGUUAGCGAGCCCGGGGAAACGAGUAAUCCGGGGCGUGACAAUAAUUUUAUAAAAAAUAUUAAUUAGCAGGGUGGAUUCGGGGCGCCGGCGAGAGGCAGGUUACAAGGCGGGGCGGAUUAUGGGAUGUAUUUUUUAACCCGUCACGGAUUCGGGGCAGGAGGCUGGGCGGGAUUUUGCUAGUCGGGGCGGGGCUCCCACCCCCAGAUCCGCCCUGUUUGCAUCCCUAGAGAGAGAGUUCGGCUACUAUACUAUCGAUAGUACCAAGCUGUUGGUACUAUCGAGUUUUCUAUCAUUAAAUCUACCCUUUGAUAAUUUCCACCCGUUAGAUUAUACUAUUCAACCAACCAUCCUAGGAACCACUAUUAUCCUAACCGCAUAUCCUUUUAUCCAAUGACCAAAAACUCAAUAGCACCAACCGAUUGGUACUAUCGAUAGUAUAGUAACAUAAUUAUAUACUAGUGUAGUUAUUCGCGCGAUGCGGCGGGCAUAUAUUAUCGAAAUAUUAGAUUUUUAAUUCAAUACAACUCAUCUUAAAUAGAAACUAUCAAAUAAUCCCAAAACUAUACUGUAAAAUAGGUUAAAAAUAGAUAAAAAAAUAGAAAAUAAGAAGAGAGAGAAAAAAAAAAAAGAUAGAGGAACUCUCACUUGGUAUUGAUCUCUAAGAGGGCGAGGCUUGCGCACGCUGUCUUUCGCAGCCGCCGCCGUCACCGCCUUGGUCUCUACUACCAUCACAUUUACUGCCUCCGCCACCGCUAUGACCUGAAGCAUCUUAUACAGGUUCUAAAGAACUCUACACAAAAUGAGAGGAGGUAGAGUUGUGGGAGUUAGGAAAAAUGGAUAGUAGAGAAGGAGAAAAGACACGUGGGUUAAGGGGGAGAAGAAAUGGGGCCUGGGAGGAGAUGAAGCGGUGGACGUUGAGAAGAUGAGAAGAUACCAAAGUUAAGAGUUAAAGAAAAAGAAGAAGAAAAUAGAUCCCACGCCUCAUGCUAAAUGAGAAGAGGAGAAGACACCAAAGUUAUGAAUUAAAAAAAUAAAAUAAAAUAAAUGGAUGCCGUACCUCUUGCCAAAUGAAGUGGGUCGUAAUUUAUUAUAAGGAAAGGAGUAGGCUUUUAUUUUCAUGACAUGCAUAGGAGAGGAGGCUUUUGUGUGAGUUUUUAUGAUUUAGUGUUAUAUUAGGGUUAAGGCGGGUGGACGCAUUAAUUAGAUAUUAUAUGCGAAGGGAAGGCGAAAGGUUGGGCCUUUUGGAUGGGUUUUUAGGUUUACGGUUUAGACGCGUUAAUUAGACGUUAUAUGCAUAGGGAAGGCGAAGGGUUGAUUUCAUAAGGUGAAAGCCCAACAGUAAAGGAAACACACAGCUAUGUGGCAUUUCUUU